rnacentral:lncRNA from 1 species
AAAUUAUUCAUCUCCCCUGACCUCUUAAAGUUCAAGACUCAGGCACAAACAUCCUCAUCUUAGCAGGACAAGCUAAUUCAUUUGCAUGCAGAGCAACAAUAAGAAUACUCCUAAUAUACCACGGGACAUCACACUGGAAAAACACUGCAACCAACGCGUUCUCUCUAGUGGCAAAAUCGAAAUUUUUUGAACUUGCACGACAUAUAAACAAGAACUACAUGAUACACAAUUUUCCAUCAUGCACCUGCUAUCCUGAACAUAAAUGAAAUGAGAGAAGGGUAUCCUGAACAUCUAAAUAAGAACUUGCAAUUUUUUCCAUCAUGCACCCAGAGGUUCUGCCUUCUCCCCCGGCCCUGAAACAAGAGCACCAUCAAUUUAGUUUUAAACAAAUUGAAAGUUCGAACAUGAGGCAUGUAGAUAUUCAAAUGAUGAAAGUCACAGACGUGAGCUGUUUUUGUUUUACUUAAAAUAAUUCAACAUGAAGGAGGACAUACAAGCAUAAUGGAAAUCUGCAGAACUAACAUGAUGUAUACUGAUACAUAGUACUGAUGCUUUGGGAAUUUUCGAACUGAGAAAAGAAGUGUAGGCGGCUCGAGCGUCAAGAGGAGAAAACAUGGGCUCACCGAGGAAGGUGGUAGACAAAUGACAACAACAUUAGUUCUAGAUCGAGACAGUAGCAGGAGAAGGUCCUUUUGAGGCCCGGCUUGCCGACAUGCUUCAGUUCGGGCUGGAUUCAUCAAAGAUGUCAAGAUUAUAAGCACUGUAAGAACAACCAAGAUUGAGAGAAUACACUGAGCACCAUGUCUAAUUCUUAUGUUAGUGGUUGGUCCGAUAAAAUUACGAGGUCAAUGCUUCCAUAGAAGUAACAAGACGCAAGCUUUAAUUAGUUCCUAGGUUAGAAAUUUGUAAAUACUAGUACUGCUACCAGCAUUUACAAAUACUAGUGAACUUGAACUUGUGGUCUAUCGAGAUCUUAACUGAUUGUGUUACAAGCACUAACACAAAAUCUAAUAAACCUAGAGAUUAUAUAUUGGUGAACUUUUUCUUCCUAUAGAACCGUUAAUCAAAUAAAUGUAGUGUUCACUAGGUUUUAGCAACAUGAUAAGUAGUAGCAAUACUACUCUAGGUGGCAAAGUAGUAGCACCACAAAGGAAGGCCACCAUCAACAGUGCGUACUACCGCGACACCUAAAGUAUGUGUUGGC